AUGAGAAGGAUUAUCAACUUUCUGAAGUUAAGAAGAAGAAGAACGGUGGUUGAUGACUCUCAGACGUGGCGGCUUUUCUUUUCCGGUGGCGGGAGAAGUCUCAUUCGUGGCGGAUUUCGGAGAUUCGAGAGCUUCAGAGGCGGUUUCCAGCGACUGGCUCUAGGAUUCUGGCGAAGAAGAGGUGAAUAUAUAUUUAUUCUCUUUGUUUUGAAUUUUUUUUGUCAGUGA